rnacentral:lncRNA from 1 species
GGUGUGUUCAGGAUAACGACUGUAUUUGAGUGAUUUUAGUUUAGCCUCUGCCUCCUGGGUUCAAACAGUUCUCCUCCCUCAGCCUCCCGAGUAGCUGGGAUUACAGGCGCCAGCCACCACGCCCGGCUAAUUUUUGUAUUUUUAACAGGCGUGAGCCACCAAGCUCUAAACUGUUUAUUACUGUGCUUUAGCAGUAACAGUGUUUGAAAAUCUGUGAUGAAUUUUUAAAAAAUAUAUUGCGGAAGUGAUUUAUCUAAAAUUCUUACAAUUAGCAAGAAAAGGACUGCACUUAAUGUUUUCGUCUUCAGUUUCUUGAUGCGGAAACUCUACUUUGAAAAUCCAGCAAUCCUAUCACGUCU